rnacentral:RNase_P_RNA from 1 species
UAAGCGGACCGUGCGGUUGCGGGGAUAAUUAUCCACGAGGAAAGUCCGGGCUUCACGGCGGCAAGGGUGCCGGCUAAUUACCGGUGAAGGCGACUUCAAGGAAAGUGCAACAGAAAUAAACCGCAGCCUUACGGCUGUAAGGAUGGAAAGGCGAGGUAAGAGCUCACCGACGGAGCGGCAACGCCCCGUGCCCUGUAAACCCCACCCGAAGCAAGACUGAACCGCGGAGAUUCUGCCGCCGUCACUUCGCGGUAUAAAUUUACGUCGCUUGAGCGUAGCGGUAACGCUUCGCCUAGAUAGAUAGCCGCAUUAAACGACAGAACCCGGCUUACAGGUCCGCCUUAAAU